rnacentral:tRNA from 1 species
AGCGAGAGUAGCUCAGUGGUAGAGCGUUGCCUUGCCAAGGCAAAAGUCAAGGGUUCGAAUCCCUUUUUUCGCUA